GACGAACGCUGGCGGCGUGCUUAACACAUGCAAGUCGUACGGUAAGGCCCUUUCGGGGGUACCCGAGUGGCGAACGGGUGCGUAACACGUGAGUAACCUGCCCACAACUUUGGGAUAACGCUAGGAAACUGGUGCUAAUACUGGAUAUGUGCUCCUGCUGCAUGGUGGGGGUUGGAAAGCUCCGGCGGUUGUGGAUGGACUCGCGGCCUAUCAGCUUGUUGGUGGGGUAGUGGCCUACCAAGGCGGCGACGGGUAGCCGGCCUGAGAGGGUGACCGGCCACAUUGGGACUGAGAGACGGCCCAGACUCCUACGGGAGGAAGCAGUGGGGAAGAUUGCACAAGGGGCGCAAGCCUGAUGCAGCAACGCCGCGUGCGGGAUGACGGCCUUCGGGUUGUAAAACGCUUUCAGCAGGGACGAAGCUUUUUGUGACGGUACCUGCAGAAGAAGCACCGGCUAACUACGUG
rnacentral:rRNA from 1 species